GGCACUUACCCUCCUUCCUGCAACGAUGUGAAGAAGGACAAGUUUGCUUCCCCUUCUGCCAUGAUUGUAAGAAGACUGGUGGUGCUGCUGGAAUAAAAGGAGUGAUGGAAGACAGGUGAGGGUGUGAGGAGAAAAGAUUUGGUGAAUCACAGUUAUGUUUCCUGGCAUUAAAUCACCCUUGAAUAUUUCUAUAAUAAAUGAAAUUCAAUAGGGCCUGAAAAGGGGGUCAACCAAGUACUGCGACUUUCACAAUAAAAUGAAUCAAAGCUCUCAUGAGUUCAUAACCUGAGCCAAAGAAAAAGGAAAGUCAUAUUACAAUAAGAAGAAUGCCCCCCAUGGAGGACCCAUCACUGCCAUACAGCAGCAAGAAAGGCGAGAUGAGCACAAUGGUGUAUGUAACACUGCUCUACGCCGACAGAUGUCCCAUUGCAACUCCUGAGACUUGGAGGCCAAAUGUUUUCUCUACCGACAUUCUAUGCCCUCAGGAAUUCCUCCACAAAUCCAGAUCUUACACACAGCAUAUUAUUUGUCUGACUCCAGAAUGUGAAUAUGGUCUGCUAAUUUUUAUGCUGUACCCUGCUUUUAAUAAAUGUUUACAUUACAUAUUUAAAUAUGAAUAUUAAAGAA
ensembl:lncRNA novel transcript